rnacentral:lncRNA from 1 species
GUAAAGUGUGCCACAUGUAUCAUGUGCAUUCUGUUUAGAGAUGCCUCGACCCUUUGAGUUUGCCAUGUGCCUCAAUUGCAAAUCAGAUUCACUAGAAGGUGCUUAGUUAGCAUUUUUUUUUUAAAUGUGUGUGUGGGGAGUGUUAACUUCUUUCACUUGUUUCAAUAUUUUUUAGGAGCCGAAGCCCACGGGAUGCGCGGCCACACCACAGUCAUGACAAGCAACGUGAUGAGAGAGGACGUGAAGAAUGGCCACGUGAGGAAAGGGCUCGUGAUGAAAGGUCCCGCGAGGAUAGACCACGUGAUGACAAGUCACGCGAGGAAAGAUCACGAGAUGAUGGCUCACGCAAUGACAGGUCACGUGAAGACAGGGCUCGAGAUGAUCGGCUGCGAGAUGAAAAAUCUCGGGAAUUGGAUCGCCGUAAAGAGAGCACAAGUCAUCGUCACCGAUCCAGCCCUGAACGCAGCAGGCAUAAUGACCGCUCUCGAGAACAUACCUCACACGAUCACCGAACAUCAUCACGGAAAGAACGUUCCUACUCACCCAUGACUAAGAAUCACCACCGAUAAAUAUCUGUUUUUCUCUUUGC